CCAGGAGCUAUCGCCUGCCAGUACAGUGGAAGAAAGAUCUGCUAGAAUGAAUUGUUGUUUCGGUUGGAAUUUGGUGGCCGAGGACUAAAGAGAGAAGAACAAAGAGAGGCUGACUGACUCUGGAAAAACCAUCCAGCUUGUUGGGGAAUAAAUAUCUGCCACGGAUGUUGCACAUGAAUAGUUCCCGAGAAGCGACAGCUCUGGACAUAGGGGUUUCGUUUUCAGAAGGAUUUCAAGGCUGCCAUUUCUAUCAGGGCUGAGCAAUGAUUCAGUAGAAAAAGCCGGAGUUGGGCCCUGUGCAUAACCUCCACUCUGCCCCUGCAUCCAGGCAUCCUCUGGCUCAUUUAAUACUCUGCGUCCCAUCCUUGAAGGAGUACUGCACAUUAUCUGCUACGGCCAUUUCUGCCUUGGGUUACUUUUAUCCAGUCUCAUUUUUAUACUAGUUCUUUGGUUGUGAUGGCCUGGGCUAUCUAUUGACACAGACUUUUUCUGUGAUACAGUUCUGUAUUUUAGCUCCCAUGAGCUGUCCAUUCACCAGGACAGCUUACUUCUUCUUGAACCUCAGAGCUGGCUUUUUCUCAGAGAAGGGUGGACAGGUCCAGCGUGUGUGGGUUCAGAGCGCACAGCCUGUUGAGGAGAGCAGGGGCUAUGUGUGAGAGCUGGAUCCCAGAUCCCUGUUCAGUUGCUCCCAAUGAACAGGCUGAGCAACUUUUCUGAGAAAAUAGGACUUGUGAAAGGCACCUUUCCUGAAGCCCUCAGGACUGAGCAUUCCUUGGUUACUGAUUGCUGCAUUUAGACAUAAUGCAGUGGCUACAAAGGCCUGUGUUGGAUGAAAGAGGUCUCACUGUGUUCCCACAUACUCCACAAAGCCAGAGAUCACACUUAAGCAAAUCCUAGGAAAUUAAAACCUAGUGAAGUCAAGCAACAUUGUGGUGAGGGGACAGGAGAAGAAAGGAUCUGCACUCCUCAUGGCAUGGCAAAAAAAAUGCCUAGAACAACAUUCCCUGGCCCAGAGCUUCUUAGCCAGAUCCCAGAGUAAUGGUACUACCCCAUAACUGGCUGCAUCUUUAAGAGCUUCUCACAAAAGUGGAUAUGAAUAGUUGCUGUAGACAUAUCAUGUAAUGGUGGACAGUUAUAAUUCAGCUAUUUAAAUUCGCAGCUGUCAGAGAUUUCUGAGCAGCACCUGACACCAAGAAUAAGACAAAAUCAGGGAAUUCCCUAAAUGAAAGAACAGAACUCUCACAGUCUGUUCAAAGCUGAAACUAUCCAUAACUGGAAAGAGAGGUAAAACCGAUUUUACUGUAUGUGUUUUGAAAAGAGAUUCAUCAGAGAUGGCUUCUGACAGUAGAUGCUUCUGAAGCACUUUUUUCUGACAGUGUGAGCAGGAGUUAAUUAGUAAACAAUUGUAAAGCUUGAAGAAUACCGCACUCCACUUGAAAAUGAACUAUUGGAGCAGCAUGAAAAAAAACAGUCAGAGACUGGGAGAUUUAAAAUGGACUGGAAAUGGAAUGCUCACUUAAGGGAGUGCGAGCAGAGGUACCAGGUCUAGAACAGAUCGUUGGCUUGGCAGAUUAAGUUUGCAAAACAGAGGAACCCACACAGUCCCUACUACUUCUAGGAAGUGUCAAGUGCUCUGAAAAUACAGGUGUACCUGUAGAUGCAAAAUAGACGAGGAAAGAGAAAUGCAGCAGAAUGGCAUGAGAAUGGCAACCUGUACAAGUGGAAUCAUUCCUAUCAAGGUCUCUCACAGAUGCUGAGUUUAGCUUUACAAUGAGUAAGUGGUUUAAAAACUGAAGUGGGUGGGUCAAAGUGAUCCUCCUCCACCUCCAAUGGUCACACAGUUUUCAGAGGUGUCAUGGCCUGUGUGGAAGGUGAAGAACAUCCCCACAGACUAAAACCAAGCUAUUUAUUUGUCCAUUACAUCCAAAGUGUUUUCAGUCCCUAAGAAGAUUCAGUUUUGGCAUGGGAAUGUUCUUCAUGCAGCUAAGCACAGUGCACUUGUGGAAAGUUUCAGGGUUUGGGCAAAGGCAAAGAGGUGGAACAACUGUCUUCAACUCUGCUUUGUGCUACAGGGCCUUCAGGUGACCUUUCAGCAUCUGUGAUAAGUUUUAAACAUAAAACAGGAUGGGUAAAUUCCCAAAGGCCUCACUAACCUAGACCUGUAGGCAGAUGCAGAUACAGCAUUGCAGGCUGCUGUACCUAAAGGACAAAACCCAAAGAAGCUAGUGCCCAGACAGCAGGUCUUUGUGGCAGUAGUUCACUAGAAGAGUUACUCUGAAGUUUAGCAUUGAGGUAGCUAUGCUCCCAGUUACUCUCUGGAGCUCAGAAACACCCACUCCUCCAAAGGAGGCUUGACUGUUUCCUAUCUGUGAGAAGGGGCAGAACUUUUGAAAAUGUUCCCCAAAUCCCCUUUGUCUUUUUUCUCUCACUGAAAAGUUCCUGGACUGAUUCCAUUAUGCAUUCUAGAAACUUUGCUUAAAGGAUGUUUGAAAAGAUGGCUCCUAGAAGAGAUCCCCAUGUAAUCAGAAAAACUGUGGUCGCCUGGCUAAAAUAGAAAGGGAGACAAAUGGCAUUAAAAGCAGGAGUCCAAUAAGAGGAUAGAGAGCUUUGAGAAUUAGUUAUUUGACUCUUUUUGACCUAAAUCUCUGGUUUAAUGAAGUAAAAUCUUUCCACAGGGUGCUCUUUAAAGUCCUUUAACAGAAGGUUUUUCCAUCCUGAGCAGAGGCUUAGCAGAGGACAUGGCAGCCAGAGAAAGGAAGUGUGGUCAACAACAGUCUAAUCAUGCCCAUCCAAUUCUGUACCACCCUCUGUACUCACUGCUCAGUAAAGUGUAAUGAUCGUUCAGUCAUUAACAUCUUCACAUAAACAUGCAUAUGGGAAAGAGUGAAAGCUGUGAGACUGAGACCAGGCAUUCGUUUUCUAGAGAGGACAAAGCAGGGCAGAACUUCUAGCUCGUUGUGGGAGCAUGGCAGAAGGAAGGGGCUACUGGGGUGAAGUGUUUCAGAUUAACACCCUCCUGCAGGCUGCCACACCCUUCAUUUGGGGAGAAAGUCUUUGUUUCAGAGGGAGGCUCUUGCUCCUCAUGUGCUGGUGAGAACUGAGGUGGCGAGGAUGAUCUGAACUGGACUCUGGAGCAGAUUCCUCCUCCCCACUUUGAUGCUACCAGAUGUACUUGGAGAAGACAGUGACAGAGGCUCAUGGUGUUUAGUCUCCUAGGACUAUAUGUCCUUGAACAGGGGUCUCUGCUGUAUUUCUCUACUUGGCAGAGAGUGAGUUCACCUGAGUAUCCUCUGCCUGAAUGAAAUAAAAGGCCAAUUUCCCUGUAAAUGA